GUGGGGAAUAUUGGACAAUGGGCGAAAGCCUGAUCCAGCCAUGCCGCGUGAGUGAUGAAGGCCCUAGGGUUGUAAAGCUCUUUCACCGGUGAAGAUAAUGACGGUAACCGGAGAAGAAGCCCCGGCUAACUUCGUGCCAGCAGCCGCGGUAAUACGAAGGGGGCUAGCGUUGUUCGGAAUUACUGGGCGUAAAGCGCACGUAGGCGGGUAUUUAAGUCAGGGGUGAAAUCCCGGAGCUCAACUCCGGAACUGCCUUUGAUACUGGGUACCUAGAGUAUGGAAGAGGUAAGUGGAAUUCCGAGUGUAGAGGUGAAAUUCGUAGAUAUUCGGAGGAACACCAGUGGCGAAGGCGGCUUACUGGUCCAUUACUGACGCUGAGGUGCGAAAGCGUGGGGAGCAAACAGGAUUAGAAACCCGGGUAGUCC
rnacentral:rRNA from 1 species